rnacentral:rRNA from 1 species
GACGAACGCUGGCGGCGUGCUUAACACAUGCGAGUCGAACGGAAAGGCCCUGCUUUUGUGGGGUGCUCGAGUGGCGAACGGGUGAGUAACACGUGAGUAACCUGCCCUUGACUUUGGGAUAACUUCAGGAAACUGGGGCUAAUACCGGAUAGGAGCUCCUGCUGCAUGGUGGGGGUUGGAAAGUUUCGGCGGUUGGGGAUGGACUCGCGGCUUAUCAGCUUGUUGGUGGGGUAGUGGCUUACCAAGGCUUUGACGGGUAGCCGGCCUGAGAGGGUGACCGGCCACAUUGGGACUGAGAGACGGCCCAGACUCCUACGGGAGGCAGCAGUGGGGAAUAUGGCACAAUGGGCGGAAGCCUGAUGCAGCAACGCCGCGUGCGGGAUGACGGCCUUCGGGUUGUAAACCGCUUUCGCCUGUGACGAAGCGUGAGUGACGGUAAUGGGUAAAGAAGCACCGGCUAACUACGU